GAACGACGCUGGCGGCAGGCCUAACACAUGCAAGUCGAGCGAGGACUUCGGUCCUAGCGGCGGACGGGUGAGUAACGCGUGGGAACGUGCCCUUUGGUACGGAAUAGCCCCGGGAAACUGGGAGUAAUACCGUAUGGUGUCUUCGGACUAAAGAUUUAUCGCCAAAGGAUCGGCCCGCGUUGGAUUAGGUAGUUGGUGGGGUAAUGGCCUACCAAGCCGACGAUCCAUAGCUGGUUUGAGAGGAUGAUCAGCCACACUGGGACUGAGACACGGCCCAGACUCCUACGGGAGGCAGCAGUGGGGAAUCUUAGACAAUGGGGGCAACCCUGAUUUAGCCAUGCCGCGUGAGUGAUGAAGGCCCUAGGGUUGUAAAGCUCUUUCAGCUGGGAAGAUAAUGACGGUACCAGCAGAAGAAGCCCCGGCUAACUCCGUG
rnacentral:rRNA from 1 species